GAAAAAUCCUGCACCGCCCCUGUUAACUGCUGCUGCGCCACACAAAAAUGUCUGUAAGAUGGACUGCUGCGACUCGUAAUCUCUCUGGCGGCUGAUGAGACCGUUGUGUGCUCGCUCUUGGUGCUUGAUGUCACACCGUUUAUCUGUGAUCAUUAUUGAUAUUAUUAGUGGUAGUAACUGAUCAACUGCAAGACAGUUUGUUAUGUGCGGUCAACAUGGCAGCAUCCAUGAGGGGCGACACGCUCAAUGUACAAUUAAACAGCUUUUAUUGAGACUGUCAGUCAAUUUUGGAAGCCUGAAGUGGGUUCAUUUUAAGUUUCCAUAUUCCAUAUGUUAAGAUAUGUUCAGUGUUGCUGCUGUGGAAGUGUUGUGGGUGACUUUUUAUUGAUGCAGGUCUAAUCAUACUUUAAGAGGUUCUCUAGACCAUGCAACUUUUUAAGUUCCUACGGUCCCAUCAUAAUUUCUUAAGACGUAAGUACUGUAUAUGAUGUCAGUAUUUUCCAACAUUUUCUAAAUACUGUACCAGUACUGUGUAAAAUGCCAUCAAAAAGUCAAUUAAGUGUUAUUCUUUCUCACCUUUCUUUCUCUGUCUCCUUUCACUUUUUAAAGGCUGCCAUGUUAAAAAAAAAUAUUUUGUGCUGCCAUGCUGUUUGUUGAUGUGGUAAAUAAAUAGUUUAUGAAAAUACCA